GAAAACCGUACCCAGGCUUCACAAUGUGUAAAACCUUCUCUCUCUAUUUGUCAAGCUCCAUCGCAAGCUUCAUUGUAGGUCUUCGCUCUGUCCAUCUCGAGCUCCAUUGCAGAUCAGUUUGAGAUCUACAAUCUUCAGUAGAUCUACCUUGUUCUUCACAUUUUCUGUAGAUUUGAUUUCUGCUACUUUGAAGGCAUCGAUUGGUUAAUUCACUCUCUAUCAAGGGAUUUCGGGAUGGAUAGGAGUUGGAUGCAACUUCAUAAUAGAAGGUUACAUCAAUACAUUGAUGGGGUAACAGAAUUUAUCAUAUUUGCUCGUGAUCAUAUGAAAUCAGGGACGAGUAAGAUUU